GUCGAGGGGCAGCAGGAGUAGCAAUACUUGCUGGCGACCGGCAAACGGGUGCGGAACACGUACGCAAUCUACCUUCAACUGGGGCAUAGCCCGAAGAAAUUCGGAUUAACACCCCAUAACAUAACUAACAGGCAUCUGUUUGGUUAUUAAAACUGAGGUGGUUGGAGAUGAGCGUGCGUCCCAUUAGAUAGUUGGUAGGGUAACGGCCUACCAAGUCGACGAUGGGUAGCUGAUGUGAGAGCAUGAUCAGCCACACGGGCACUGAGACACGGGCCCGACUCCUACGGGAGGCAGCAGUGAGGAAUAUUGGUCAAUGGACGCAAGUCUGAACCAGCCAUGCCGCGUGCAGGAUGAAGGCCUUCUGGGUUGUAAACUGCUUUUAUCAGGGAAGAAACCACAGAUUUCUAUUUGUGCCGACGGUACCUGAGGAAUAAGCACCGGCUAACUCCGUGCCAGCAGCCGCGGUAAUACGGAGGGUGCAAGCGUUAUCCGGAUUCACUGGGUUUAAAGGGUGUGUAGGCGGGCUUGUAAGUCCGAGGUGAAAUCUCCGAGCUCAACUUGGAAACUGCCUUGGAUACUAUAGGUCUUGAAUAUCGUUGAGGUAGGCGGAAUAUGUCAUGUAGCGGUGAAAUGCUUAGAUAUGACAUAGAACACCGAUUGCGAAGGCAGCUUGCUAAACGAUUAUUGACGCUGAGGCACGAAAGCGUGGGGAUCAAACAGGAUUAGAUACCCUGGUAGUCCACGCCCUAAACGAUGAUUACUCGACAUACGCGAUAUACAGUGUGUGUCUGAGCGAAAGCAUUAAGUAAUCCACCUGGGAAGUACGUCCGCAAGGAUGAAACUCAAAGGAAUUGACGG
rnacentral:rRNA from 1 species